rnacentral:rRNA from 1 species
CCUACGGGUGGCAGCAGUGGGGAAUAUUGGGCAAUGGGCGAAAGCCUGACCCAGCAACGCCGCGUGAAGGAAGAAGGCUCUCGGGUUGUAAACUUCUUUUGUCAGGGAAGAGCAGAAGACGGUACCUCUUGAAUAAGUCACGGCUAACUACGUGCCAGCAGUCGCGGUAAUACGUAGGUGGCAAGCGUUGUCCGGAUUUACUGGGUGUAAAGGGCGUGUAGCCGGGCUGACAAGUCAGAUGUGAAAUCCGGGGGCUCAACCCCCGAACUGCAUUUGAAACUGUUGGUCUUGAGUAUCGGAGAGGCAGGCGGAAUUCGUAGUGUAGCGGUGAAAUGCGUAGAUAUUAGGAGGAACACCAGUGGCGAAGGCAGCCUACUAAACGGCAACUGACAGUGAUGCGCGAAAGCGUGGGGAGCAAACAGGAUUAGAUACCCUUGUAGUC